rnacentral:rRNA from 1 species
GUGGGGGAUAUUGCACAAUGGGGGAAACCCUGAUGCAGCGACGCCGCGUGAGGGAAGAAGGUUUUCGGAUUGUAAACCUCUGUCUUGUGGGACGAUAAUGACGGUACCACAGGAGGAAGCCACGGCUAACUACGUGCCAGCAGCCGCGGUAAUACGUAGGUGGCAAGCGUUGUCCGGAAUUACUGGGUGUAAAGGGAGCGUAGGCGGGAAUGCAAGUUGAAUGUUUAACCUAUCGGCUCAACCGAUAGUCGCGUUCAAAACUGUAUUUCUUGAGUGAAGUAGAGGCAAGCGGAAUUCCUAGUGUAGCGGUGAAAUGCGUAGAUAUUAGGAGGAACACCAGUGGCGAAGGCGGCUUGCUGGGCUUUUACUGACGCUGAGGCUCGAAAGCGUGGGUAGCAAACAGGAUUAGAUACCCUAGUAGUCC